rnacentral:rRNA from 1 species
UACAGAGGUCUCAACCGUUGUUCGGAUUCAUUGGGCGUAAAGGGUGCGUAGGCGGUCGGGUAAGUCGGAUGUGAAAUCUCAGGGCUCACCCUGAAACUGCAUUCGAUACUGCCUGGCUAGGGUACUGGAGAGGAGACUGGAAUUUACGGUGUAGCAGUGAAAUGCGUAGAUAUCGUAAGGAAGACCAGUGGCGAAGGCGAGUCUCUGGACAGUUACCGACGCUGAGGCACGAAGGUCAGGGGAGCGAACGGG